rnacentral:rRNA from 1 species
UACGAAGGGGGCUAGCGUUGCUCGGAAUCACUGGGCGUAAAGCGCGCGUAGGCGGCUUUUUAAGUCAGAGGUGAAAUCCUGGAGCUCAACUCCAGAACUGCCUUUGAUACUGGAGAGCUUGAGUCCGGGAGAGGUGAGUGGAACUGCGAGUGUAGAGGUGAAAUUCGUAGAUAUUCGCAAGAACACCAGUGGCGAAGGCGGCUCACUGGCCCGGUACUGACGCUGAGGUGCGAAAGCGUGGGGAGCAAACAGG